CAUGCUGGAGAAGCAGGGCACAUGCUAGAUUUAUCAGAAUGAAAAACCUGAGAAUUUUGCAUGUGCCUUUGUUCUCCAGCUUGGA
rnacentral:pre_miRNA from 1 species